AGAAGUUGUCCAGGGCUCCCUGAGGGAAGCCAGCACAAGAGCUCUGCCAUAGAAGGACAUUGGACAGAAGUGAAGAGUCCAAUCAGAAACUCUUUUUGAGAGACUGAACGCAAAGCAUUCAGAGAGUCAGCAGGCUGGAGAGGCCAAGACACACACACGAAGAAGGCAGGACACUCUUCUCCUCCUGCGGUUGGACUCCAGGCUCUAUGACCUUUAAACUCCAGGACUUAUACCAGCCGCCCCUGGGCACUCAGGAAUUCUGCCUCAGACUGACAGUUGCAGGACAGUGCAGCAUUUUAUUUUAAAGAUACCCCACAACGUAGGUGGCCAGUCCUGCUGCAGGUGCGGUUUCAAGUCUUUGGAGUUUGACCUUCUAGUCCAAAGUCAUUACAGCUGCAGGCAGAGGCUCCCGCGGGGAAAAGAGCAUUUCCUGGGACGCUGGAACUAAAUGAACGGCCCACUCUCCAGUUCAGCCCUUGCCUCCUUCCCGACACAUAAAGUUCGAGAGCCACGGUCCUGAGUGCAUAGGAAGAGCCCCAUCAUCCUUCUCCCUCUGGGCAAGCUAGGAGCAGCGGUGCGAGGCUCCAUUUCUUCUUCUCUGGCUCCUGGACCUCAGCCACCUCUGCUCAGGCACAGGCCAGCUGCCCAGGCGUCCUCCUCUGGCGACCAGCUCUGACCGCAGCCCUGGUCUGCUCUCGGGGUCGGGCCCACACCCCUCUUCUUCCUCCUCUUCCUCCCAAGGCCUGGGCUCGGGUCCCUCUUCUCACCUUUCCCUUUCUUGCGUUGCAACCGUAACUUGGUAAAACCCUUCUUGAUCUUCCUCUCUCACCUCCUUUCAAACACAUGCUUGCAGGCUUUUUCCCGAUCUCAUCCUCAGGGCAGAUACGCUCCCUUGAUUCUGAGGUCUUUGAACUUGCCGUGAAGCCACACUACCUGCGUCCCAGGGUCUCCAGCUUGCAGAUGGACUGUGGUGGGACUUCUCAGUCACCAAGAUUGAGAGCUGUACUAGCCUGGCAUGCAGACAGCAGCUUUAGAAUCAGAUCUGCCUUCUGGCGGCUUCCCACCUAGGAGCCAUGGGACCUUUGUGAAGUCACCAAUUGUGCUGUGGAUGCUUCAUUUGUGAAGGAGAACAGGACUGCCUUGUGAAAUUACGGAUGAUGCUACUAAAACAUAUCAAUAAUUUGAAUUUCACUUUUGUGGAUGCUUUAAACAUCAUAGUCAUUAGAAGGUGGAUCUGGCUGAUUGUACUUUAAGUUUUCAGUUUGGGCUGGAGCUUUGUAUUAUAACAGGAGGGUACUGGACAAGAUGAGGAAACUGAGGUACAGAUGGGAAACUUGCUCAAGUUCACACAGCAAUUAAGUGAUCAAGUCCAAGAGCAAAACCAGGCAGGCUGGCUCCAGAGCUCACGAUAGCCCACCACUGCUUUCCACCAUCACUACGGAAUCAAGUCCAUGAGGAUACUUACCUUAUGUCAGUUGCCUAAGUUGGAAAUUAUAGAAUCUUCAAAUUGGAAGGGACGUUAUCAUGCAAGAUUUCAACUUUCUACUCACUGCAAAAUCCCUUCUGGAACUACCCAGAUUGAUGAAUUUUCAUCAGCUCUGCUUGAGUACUCCCAGUGACUUGGAAAAAAAACACUAUAAUAUGGAUAUGAAAUAUAAACUGUUCAUGGAUAAAUUAUUGCAUAAUAAAAACAUGCCUAAUGGCUACACUCCCCU
rnacentral:lncRNA from 1 species